rnacentral:piRNA from 1 species
UAAAAAGGAAAAUCAUGUGUUAGA